CACAAGCAUCAGGGCAAAUAACAUGGUCAUGUUGAAAUACAUGUGCCAUACAAAAUACAGCAAUCAAACCAUGAAAUAGACGCUUGGCCCAAAGGAUAUUUAUAUAUGUUAUUAGAGACCAACACCUACAGAAGAACAGAAGGAAGUGUAUUUGUCUGAGGGAGAGGUCAACUGUGACACAGACCCAACCAAGUCUCAGCCCGUCACAGUUGUCCCAGUUGGACAGAGGUCCCUGACCUUUAUAACACAAUUUCAGUCAGUAGAUGUGCUAGGAAGGGCAUUGCCUCAGUCAGGUGAUUUUCUCCACUGGAGGAAAACCCUGAAAUACUCCUUGCAGCUGCUGGAGCAAGUAAGUCUACUGCUGGGGGGUCUGGGCAGUGUUGUCCUUGCCCACCAUGCCAGAAAUCCCAAAUAACAAGAUAAAUUUUCCCUGGGAAUCUUGUUGGAGGCUUGUCCACAAAUGGCUAAAGUAUCUUCUGAUAAAAAGGAAACAGCAGGUCCCCAGUAGAGUCAACUUAUGCUAAACCCCUUAUCAGCCAACCAAGGCUUAAUACCUAAUUAUAGUCAUCCCCAUCCCCAGGAAUGUAACUUUUACCAAAUCAACCUGGAAAUACCUAAACAGCACUACCGAGGUAAUCCACCUGCUGGAGCUCAUUUCUGUUACUAGAUGGGAUGCUACCCAAUGCAUGAUUCACUGCACAAAGCCAGAUUAAUCUGUAGGUGUACUCAGUUGAAUUUGUCAUCUAACACCUCCCAAAAUUAAAAUUAGUAUCUCCUGUCCUUCAAAAGGUGAGCAUAUAAACUGUGGUAUAUUCACACAGUGAAUACUAUCAGUGAUUUAAAAAUGAGCUAUAAGCCACAAAAAGACAUAGAGGAAUCUUAAAUGCAUAUUACAUAGUGAAGGAGACCAGUCUGAAAAGGCUGCAUACUAUAUGAUUCAAAUCAUAUAACAUCCUGAAAAAGAAAAAAGCUAGGGAAACAUAAAAACACAUCCAUUGCUGCCAAAAGCUGGCAUGGAGAAGGGGAGGAGAAGAUGAACAAGUGGAAGAGGAGAGUUGAGGCAACUAUUCUAUAGGCUGCAGCUGAGAAGUACCAGAAUAAUGUCCACGACAUGCUUUGGCAUAUGGAUUGUUUUGAGCUAAAGGUCACAGAGAACCAGUAGAUGCCUGAAAAGCUCUAGAAACCAGCCAUUCCUCAGGACCUGUGAACCAUUCUCUCCAGAAAAGCAUCACCGAGAAUAAACCACAAGGGAUCUAAUACCUAGAAGGUACAGGAUGGCUAGAAGAAAAGCAUACUAUAGACUCCAAGAUGACUCAAGAAAGUUAUUACAGGACAACUUAAGGCUAAAAGAAGGUGAAGGACCUAAAGCUGGAGAAUUUAAGGUCAACAAGGGAUGGUGUGAUAAGUUUAGGAAGAGGUUUAGCUUAAGAAAUGUCAAUGUAACAGGAGAAGCAGCUUCUGCUCACGAAGAGGUAGUUCCCAGAAGCCAUCAAGAAAGUCAAAGAAGGGAUAUCUGCCUGAAUUGGUAUUUAAAUACAGACAAAAGUGCCCUAUUCUGG